UGUGCCCGGAGUUGGAGUGCCAGGAGUUGGUGGCCUCCCAGGUGGCCUUGGAGUUGGUGGCCUCGGAGUCCCUGGGCUUGGUGUUGGAGCUGCUGGGAAACCUCCCAAGGC